rnacentral:rRNA from 1 species
GCAUAUCAAUAAGCGGAGGAAAAGAAACCAACAGGGAUUGCCCUAGUAACGGCGAGUGAAGCGGCAACAGCUCAAAUUUGAAAUCUGGCUUCGGCCCGAGUUGUAAUUUGUAGAGGAUGCUUUUGGUGAGGUGCCUUCUGAGUUCCCUGGAACGGGACGCCAGAGAGGGUGAGAGCCCCGUAUAGUCGGCCACCGAUCCUUUGUAAAGCUCCUUCGACGAGUCGAGUAGUUUGGGAAUGCUGCUCAAAAUGGGAGGUAUAUCUCUUCUAAAGCUAAAUAUAGGCCAGAGACCGAUAGCGCACAAGUAGAGUGAUCGAAAGAUGAAAAGCACUUUGAAAAGAGGGUUAAAUAGCACGUGAAAUUGUUGAAAGGGAAGCGCUUGUGACCAGACUUGUGCCGGGCUGAUCAUCCAGUGUUCUCACUGGUGCACUCGACCCGGCUCAGGCCAGCGUCGGUUUUCGUGGGGGGAUAAAAGCUUCGGGAACGUGGCACCUUCGGGUGUGUUAUAGCCCGUUGCUUAAUACCUCCGUGGAGACCGAGGUUCGCGCUCUGCAAGGACGCUGGCAUAAUGGUCAUCAGCGACCCGUCUUGAAACACGGACCAAGGAGUCGAGGUUUUGCGCGAGUGUUUGGGUGUAAAACCCGCACGCGUAAUGAAAGUGAACGUAGGUGAGAGCUUCGGCGCAUCAUCGACCGAUCCUGAUGUAUUCGGAUGGAUUUGAGUAAGAGCGUAAAGCCUCGGACCCGAAAGAUGGUGAACUAUGCCUGAAUAGGGUGAAGCCAGAGGAAACUUCUGGUGGAGGCUCGCAGCGGUUCUGACGUGCAAAUCGAUCGUCAAAUUUGGGGCAUGGGGGCGAAAGACUAAUCGAACCAUCUAGUAGCUGGUUACCGCCGAAG